GUCAGAAAAAGCUAGAAAAACCUACUAUAAAAUCUUGCUACUCGAAGAGUGACUAAGCAGCAUCACAACCUCUGGGAGCCCCUUAGAAAUGUACACUCCGGCUCCACCCUAGGACCUGCUGCCUGGGAAUCUGUGUUGUAACAAGAGACCCAGAUUUCUAUUGGGAAACCCAUUCUAUGUGGCAUGAGACAUGACCUAGAUAUUGGCCAAUCAGAAUCUCCCCUAACAAGUGAUUUGGAGUCAAGAUGGCUUUUCUUCCAGAAGCUGUAAAAGUUGGGGUUAUCUUUCCUGGCCCAUCUAAUAUCAAAGAAUAAGGCUAAUAUGAAAAAAGGAGAGUUAGCCCAUUUCAGACUUGAGGAGCUGUGCUUACUUCUGAAUAAAGAGGUGGAGGCAAGAACCGAAACUCCUGGAUAUA